rnacentral:hammerhead_ribozyme from 1 species
AUCCAUCUGACGAGUUUUAAAUAGGACGAAACGCGUGUCCUGCAU